GCCCACGCGAUAAAACAGGGAAAAAAACCUCUUCUCCCCCACUCCCGCACUCCACCCCGCAACCGCCUGCAUCCCCGGAUCCCCACCGCCGAUCCCCUCCCCCGAUCCUCACGCUGCUUUCACUCCCCUGGAUGCCCACGCCGCCACACCCCUCCCCAGAUCCCCACGCCGCCGCGCCCCUCCGCGGAGACCCGCGCCACCGCGCCCCCUCGCCGGAGACCCGCGCCGCCGCGCCCCAUCCCUUGAAACCCCCGCCGUCGCGCCCCGUCCCCAGAGACCCCCGUCGGCGCGCCCCCUAACCGGAUCCACCUGCAGCCAUGCGCCCUCCCCGGAACCCCCACGUGCGCCACCGGAUCUUGCGGCCGCCUCACGCCUCCACCACCGGCCGCCGCUGCUCUUCCCGUCCCCCACUUCUCCCUCCGAAGAAGGCACGAAGUUCACUUACUGUCAUCGAGGAAAUUCAGCUAUACCCUCUCCAACGACCUCGGCCACGACCGUGCUCCAGCCAUCGAGCGCUUGCCUCUGCCGUCUCCAAGUGAUUUUUGAUGUCUGAAGUUCAGCUAUACCUGCAGGUGCAAAAAAUAGGUGUUUUGGUCCAUUUGUUUCAGUUUGACAAGUUGGUUUUCUGUGGGAAGAAGAACGAGAACGGCAUAUUUCUCUGAACAUCCCAUUUGGCCACAACUAGACGCCAAGAAAAGUGCAUGUACAGGAUCCUGUUACAACCAAAUAUGAUGUAAAAUGCAGAGACAAAAAAGUGAAUAUAUUCAGUAAUUUUUUUGUUUUC